UGCCAGACUCCUACGGGAGGCAGCAGUGGGGGAUAUUGCACAAUGGGGGGAACCCUGAUGCAGCGACGCCGCGUGGGUGAAGGAGCGUUUCGGCGCGUAAAGCCCUAUCGGCAGGGAAGAAGGAGGACGGUACCUGACUAAGAAGCCCCGGCUAACUCCGUGCCAGCAGCCGCGGUAAUACGGGGGAUGCGAGCGUUAUCCGGAUUUAUUGGGUUUAAAGGGUGCGUAGGCGGCGCUUCAGGUCAGCGGUGAAAUACCGGGGCUCAACCCCGGGGCUGCCGUUGAAACCGGAGCGCUAGAAUUCCGAUGCCGUCGGAGGAAUGUGUGGUGUAGCGGUGAAAUGCAUAGAUAUCACACAGAACACCGAUUGCGAAGGCAUCUGACGAAUCGGAGAUUGACGCUGAUGCACGAAAGCGUGGGUAUCGAACAGGAUUAGAUACCCUAGUA
rnacentral:rRNA from 1 species